rnacentral:tRNA from 1 species
GUAGCUUAGUGGUAGAGUGCUUGCCUACCAUGCAUGAGGCCCUGGGUUCAAUCCCCAGC